GACGAACGCUGGCGGCGUGCUUAACACAUGCAAGUCGAACGGAAAGGCCCUGCUUUUGUGGGGUGCUCGAGUGGCGAACGGGUGAGUAACACGUGAGUAACCUGCCCUUGACUUUGGGAUAACUUCAGGAAACUGGGGCUAAUACCGGAUAGGAGCUCCUGCUGCAUGGUGGGGGUUGGAAAGUUUCGGCGGUUGGGGAUGGACUCGCGGCUUAUCAGCUUGUUGGUGGGGUAGUGGCUUACCAAGGCUUUGACGGGUAGCCGGCCUGAGAGGGUGACCGGCCACAUUGGGACUGAGAUACGGCCGAGACUCCUACGGGAGGAAGCAGUGGGGAAUAUUGCGCAAUGGGCCGAGGCCUGAUGCAGCAACGCCGCGUGCGGGAUGACGGCCUUCGGGUUGUAAACCGCUUUCGCCUGAGACGAAGCGUGAGUGACGGUAAUGGGUAAAGAAGCACCGGCGAACUACGU
rnacentral:rRNA from 1 species